UACAAAGAAGGAAAGAAGAAAGAAAUGCAUCUGGGCUUAGAUCCAAUUGGAUUACUGUCAACCCCAUCCAGCUGAGAAGGGAAAAGGCAGAUGUAUUGAUGGGCACUGAAAUGAGAUGGAACAAAAGACGACAACCUGAGCAGGGAAGAAAAGCAGGGGGACUGGAGAGCGUGUCCCAUGGGAAGUGUUGCUGCUGGGAGAAGGGGGAGCACCACAGGCCUUUGGAGGAGAGGAUGGUGAUUCCAGCAGAUCCUCUUCAUGGGAAUAAUGGCCUGGAGUUGAGAGGAUAAAGACAGAUGUGAGCCACCAUCGGCACUGCUUGGUGACUGCCUGCAUCUCAACACCCCGGUCUCCUCUUUCCAGGUAAGGAAAACCAAACCAUCGCAUCCCCACGUCCUUCUUGUCUGUUUCCCUUCAGGGAGCAGAGCCUGCUUGAGUGUCAGUGCCUGCAGCUGCAAAAGCAGUUCUCUGCAGCCCUCUAGUGCUUAUCAAACACAUGGAAGGAGCAGAGUUGGCAGCAGCCAUGGGGAAAAGGGGUGAGGAUUGCUCAGGCUCCGUGUCCUUCACCCUCCGUGGCUAUGGCUUUGCAGCCCAGCAGCGGUCCUGAGCCUUGGGAAGAGCCUCAUCCUGCAACAGGUAACCUUGAGCAGGCAGGAGGAGAUUUAGAGGCUCUCAAGGCCUCUGCCCCAAGGGACCCUGUACCACCCCUCGUCCUGUCCCUCCAUCCCUUGCCCAAAGCCCCUCUCCAGGUUUCCUGUAGGCCCUGGCUCCCCAUGGCUCAGCUCGGAGGUGAUGCUCAUCUGGGGAUGCAGCGGCUCAGCAGGAGCGUUUCCCCAGGGGUUCACUGUACCAUUUGUAUUUGUUAUUUCUUUUCCAGGGGAAGGCAGUGUAACUGUUCAAACAUCGUUCCUCCUUGCCACACUGGUGUGAAAUAGAGGCUUUUAUUUGCCAACAGGACAGAGCAUCCGCUGGUAUUUACCUGAGCAGCUUUAGUGUUUAGACAGGCUCCUGAUCCACAGAGCACGUUCCCAGCAGAGGUGUGCUGGGGUACAGGAAGAGCACGUUGCCCACACAAAGGGGAGAUUGGUUUUGUAUCACCAACAUCUGGUAUGGAAAUGAUUUAAUAACUCCACCCCAUGGAGCAUCACUGGGGGUUCAUUGUAAGUCCCAUCCCAAAGCGCAUCCUCUCUCCCCUUCUCCUGUGUGCCCUGUUAGCUCCAUGGACCCUUUUCCCAUGCCUUCAUCCUUCCUUUCUUAGGCACAUGCUGUAGUUCCCCACAUCCUACAGAAUCAGGGAUGAACACCAUGAUUUGGCCCAGUAAAGGGAAUGGGUUGGGAAAAGGGUACAGUUUAUUAGUCCCUUUUCUGACAGCUUUUGCCUAUUCAUGUUAGGCUCCUGCUGUGACAAAAAUACCCCAACUUGGGGAACUUUCUGCAUCUGUUUCACACUUCUACCAGAAACACUCCUCCAGUUCUCAUUAAAGUAAAAAAUCAACCUCUUUUGCCAAAUAACAGAUAGAAAACCCCUAAAAGUUAAUUAAAUGACAGUGGCUUUAAAGGCUCUUUUUGAUAACAUCCUGAAAAGCUGCUUUAGAACAGGAUUUCUCCCACAAAUCUCCAACAAAAGAAGUCGUCUGCAUACAGGAAUACUUGGAAGGAUUAAUUCUCUGGAGCUCCAGAGACAAACUGAUACCAGCUCCAUUGGAACAGCUCAGCUGGGCCUCAUAGCUGUAGGAUUAAGCCCUUCCCCAUCCCCACACUGAGGUCCACACGAGGCAGGCAAUGUGAGCCCCAUUGCAAUUCCCACUUUUCCCCACAAUCAAAUGGAAUUGGGUUUCUUUAAAGCGAGUUGCAUGGGUUUUGACUUCCUACCCAUCGAGGCUCUGAAAA